AGCAUAUGAAUGUAACUAUAGAAAGUCCAGUCAAAACAAAUUGAGUAAUAAUCAUAAGCUUAAAUUCAAGAAAGUUUGGGUUCCAAAAGGAACAUCAAGUACUAACCCUAAAGGACCCAACAUAGUUUGGGUACCUAAAGCUCUUUCUUGAUCUUUAUUACAGGGGUGUCUUGCAGCUAAUAAAGUGGAAAAAUGAUGGUAUCUAGAUAGCGGCUGUUCAAGACACAUGACCGGUGACGUAGAUCAAUUUGUCACCUUGGAAUCUAAGAAGGGUGGAGUAGUAACCUAUGAAGACAAUGGAAAAGGG
rnacentral:lncRNA from 1 species